rnacentral:rRNA from 1 species
GCGGUUAUACUUGUUCUCCCACUCAAAGAUAAAAUAUGAAUAAAAUUUAAUAAGUUUGUCUAAUAAAUGAUAUGAGAAAAUAUUUUCAAAAAUAGUCUAAUAAACUGGAUUAGUACCCAGGUAAAAUAAUAAAUUAAGUAAGGUAAUACCUAAAUUAAAUGGCAGUAUUUAGAGGAAGUAGAGAAACUUGAAGUUUAGAAAAUCCACUUUAUUGUUAAUUCUUUAAAAGUUUAAGUAUGGCUGUCCAAAAAUAAGUGUUUACUUAAAUUGUAGUCAAGCAGCAUUUAAUUUAGAGAAAAUCUUGAGUUGCAAAAAUUAGUUUAAUAAAAUUUAUUAAAACAAGGAUUUACAAGUAAAAACAAUUUUGAAAAAAUCUAAGUACA